rnacentral:misc_RNA from 1 species
UCGUUCUCUCGCCGAGGAGCUGCUGUGAUCGGCCAUAUUGUUUGACUGCGGUGUUUGUUUUGGUGUGCAAAAAAGUGAGAUAGAAGCUCGAAGGACUUGGGAAGUAAUCCGCAGUAACGGAACUGUUGGUGGUAGAGAAAAAAAUAAAUAAACAUCAUCAAAAAAACGUGUAAAAGACAACAAUUUUUUUCGUGCCCAAUUCUGGGUAAAACGUAACGUGGGAAAGAAAACGAGAGAGAGAGGGGAAGUGAGAAAGGAAAGAAUAAUUCUCAAUUGAGAGGGAGAGUGAGAGAACAAAUUGCGAAACGGGGAAAGGGAAGGAAGGAAGGAAGAGAGAAAAAGAAAACGCGUGAGCUCAAAAGUUGUAAUCGCUCGUGCGUGCGUGCUCUGCGUGCGUGCGCCCUCCGUCCUUCUUGAUUGCGCUGCGCGAUCUCGAGCGCCCGAUCUCUCACUCUCUCUCGCUUCCUCGCGCCCAACAGCCCCCUCACUCUCGAAAGCGAGUGACGGUGAGAAAUGGCCUGUGCCACCCUAAAACGAUCUCUGGAGUUCGAUCCGGUUCACAGCCAUGGGCGUCCCAGCAAAAGACGAAGAUGCGUGCCCAUGUGCGUAUCUCCGGGUGCAUCAGCACAAAACACCACUCCCAGACAACAAAAUCCUUCGUCUUUCGGCGAGGUCGCUCACAAAUUGACGCCUGAAAAAAUGGCGGCGAACAUCAGGGAAGAAAUUCGCAGAUUACACAGGCGCAAGCAGUUGCAUUUUAAUCCUCAAGCGAGUAGCGGCGACUCUUCAGAUCCGGAAGGUAGCCCGUCGAGCUCUGCGGCGGCGAGCGCACCAAAUUCUUAUGCCUACAAUCCCACCGCUAAGGAAAAUCCUUUAUUUACAUUCAGACAGGUGGGCUUGAUCUGCGAGCGAAUGCUCAAGGAACAAGAGACACAGAUACGAGAGGAAUAUGAUCAGAUACUCCAUACCAAAUUGUCGGAGCAGUACGACACUUUUGUCAAGUUCACCUAUGAUCAAAUUCAGAAGAGAUUCGAGUCUGCCGCUGCCCCAAGCUAUCUAUCCUAAGCCAGGAUGACAUAACCUCGAUGGAAAGAGAUGUCUUGGACAAAUGUUGGUUCUGGACGAAGGACGGAGGGAUGAAAAAACACCAUCACGAGGGUUGCGCGAAAGAAAAAGAGCGAGAGAGAGAGAGACAGACGAACAGACAGAAAGAUCAGUCAAGAUGAAUCUAAUUUUCCGAUCCCCUUAAGCUCAUUUACGCAUCGGAUUCUAGUUUAUAAUUCUUUUUUUAUUAACUUUGUAGUAGUGAAGAAUGUGAGAGAGAGAGAAAGAGAGCGUGAGAAAAAUAUGAGUGAUAAAAAAAAAAAAACACUUUCGUCGAGUUUACGUUCAUAGAGCAACGAUACGUUCUGCUGCCAGAAGAAGAAAGUCAAAAUAAUUCCAUAGUCUUUCUCGAAUUAGUUGGAAUUCUUGUGUUUUUUUUCGCUCAUUGAAAUCUUCGAGUCUCAAUUCGCGAAAGGGGAAAGAGAAAGAAAUGGAAUUAGAAAAGACCGCAAUUGUUUUUCUAGGGAUAUAUAUUUAAGAGGAAUGUACUCUCGACGAAAGGAUUAAUGAGUUAGAGUUGUUAAGGGGCAAAGAGGAGAUGAUUAAUACACGAAGAAACGAAAAAGCUGAAUUGAAAUUCCUUGGAAUGCAGCAGGGGGAUCCGAUUAAAAGGAUCAAAAAUACCUCCAUAUUAUGUAAACACUUAUUAAUGAAAUAAAUAUAAACCUUAAGACUGAAAA